ACCAGUUCAACGUCCAGUUGAUAAGUAGCCCAGAGUUACUCCUGUUACUAUUCCACCAUCAUCAGGUACUGUUAUUCGUUCUGGUCUUGUGUGUAAACAUUGUGGAAAUAGACACGGCAAUUGCCCCUAUUAUAAGCCAACCAAUGCGUGCUAUAAUUAUGGGAAGACCAGGCAUUUUGUGAAAGAUUGUUCCGAGAAGGUUUAUAAAUCAAUUAUCAGGGGACGUGUGUACCAAUUGACUCAGCCUAACGCUAAGGCCACUCUAGCAGUCAUUAAGUGUAUGUUUUCUAUUUCUAACUCUUUUGCACGUGCCUUAAUUGAUUCUGUGCAACUCAUUCAUUUGUUUCAUUUUAAUUUGUUAAGUGUCUAGUUGUUGAACCUAUAUCCUUAGAUAAGACCUUAAUAGUUGAAACAACAACAAAAGAAAUUUUUGUAU
rnacentral:lncRNA from 1 species